rnacentral:rRNA from 1 species
UUAUCCUACGGGAGGCAGCAGUGGGGAAUACUGCACAAUGGGGGAAACCCUGAUGCAGCGACGCCGCGUGAGUGAAGAAGUAUUUCGGUAUGUAAAGCUCUAUCAGCAGGAACGAGACAAGACGGUACCUGACCAAGAAGCCCCGGCUAACUACGUGCCAGCAGCCGCGGUAAUACGUAGGGGGCAAGCGUUAUCCGGAAUCACUGGGUGUAAAGGGAGCGUAGACGGCUGAGCAAGCCUGAAGUGAAAGGCGGGGGCCCAACCCCCGGACUGCUGUGGGAACUGUACGGCUGGAGUGCAGGAGG